rnacentral:lncRNA from 1 species
UUACAUACAUAUCGGUUGAUAAGACAAUCAUUCUUUACCACACUUAAGAUAUUUUGCAAAAUUAUCAGAAAAAAAUACCUUCAUUAACUAUUUCCUUCAAGAAUAUGGUUAGAAUUCUAGUCAACACAUCAACUUAACUAAAUGUAACCUUAAUGGUGGAAGCACUUCUGAAACUAGGUUGAGGCACAUUGUAGAUAUGCUUGGGUUCAUU